AUGGCUAACGGGAAGCUGCUGGCCGUGUUUGCUCUCUUGCAGGUUCUGGCGCUCCUCUUCCACGUCCAUGACGUCUCCGGGGCCAUCAGUCUCACGCACAAGCAUGCAAAGCGGCCCGGCGGCGGCGGCGGCGGGAAAUGCCACAUCAGCGGCUUCCUCCAAGGCAAGGCCGGCAAGUGCAACCCGGAGCACGGCUCCGACUGCUGCGUCUCCGGCCACAAGUACCCGCAGUUCAAGUGCUCGCCCCCGGUGUCGGCGGAGACGCCGGCAAUCCUGACGUUGAACAGCUUCGCGGCCGGAGCAGACGGGGGAGGCAAGUCCUUCUGCGACAACAAGUUCCACCCAGACAGCGCGCGGGUGGUGGCGUUGUCCUCGGGGUGGCUGCGCCUGGACGGCACGCGUAGGUGCAACAAGAUGAUCCGCAUCAAUGGGAAGGGGCGGUCUGUGCUGGCCAAGGUGGUGGACGAGUGCGACUCAGUGAACGGCUGCGACGAGGAGCACAACUUCGAGCCUCCGUGCCCGAACAAUGCCUUGGACGGGUCGCCGGCGGUGUGGAAGGCGCUGGGGCUCAAGGAGUCGAUUGGAGAGUUCAAGGUCACCUGGUCUGACGUCUGA
rnacentral:rRNA from 1 species